UUAGUGCCUAUGUACUGUAGGUGAAGCAGGCCAUGUGUUAGUGCCUAUGUACUGUAGGUGAAGCAGGCCAUGUGUUAGUGCCUAUGUGCUGUAGGUGAAGCAGGCCAUGUGUUAGUGCCUAUGUGCUGUAGGUGAAGCAGGCCAUGUGUUAGUGCCUAUGUACUGUAGGUGAAGCAGGCCAUGUGUUUGUGCCUAUGUACUGUAGGUGAAGCAGGCCAUGUGUUUGUGCCUAUGUACUGUAGGUGAAGCAGGCCAUGUGUUUGUGCCUAUGUGCUGUAGGUGAAGCAGGCCAUGUGUUAGUGCCUAUGUGCUGUAGGUGAAGCAGGCCAUGUGUUAGUGCCUAUGUACUGUAGGUGAAGCAGGCCAUGUGUUAGUGCCUAUGUGCUGUAGGUGAAGCAGGCCAUGUGUUAGUGCCUAUGUGCUGUAGGUGAAGCAGGCCAUGUGUUAGUGCCUAUGUACUGUAGGUGAAGCAGGCCAUGUGUUAGUGCCUAUGUACUGUAGGUGAAGCAGGCCAUGUGUUUGUGCCUAUGUACUGUAGGUGAAGCAGGCCAUGUGUUAGUGCCUAUGUGCUGUAGGUGAAGCAGGCCAUGUGUUUGUGCCUAUGUACUGUAGGUGAAGCAGACCAACAACGGUGUGUGUAACUCUGAGUGCAGACAUGCUAGUCUGUGUCACUGCGUCUGCGUCACAGGUGGUUGGUGGCACCUUAAUUGGGGAGGAUACACUCGUGGUAAUGACUGGAGCAGAAUCAGUGGAAUGGUUUCAAAUACAUCUAACACAUGGUUUCCAUGUGUUUGAUGCCAUUCCGUUCGGUCUGUUCUGGACAUUAUUAUGUGCUGUCCUCCCCUCAGCAGCCUCCACUGGUCUGAGUGGGUACAUGUGUGUGUCUGAGUGGGUACAUGUGUGUGUCUGAGUGGGUACAUGUGUGUGUCUGAGUGGGUACAUGUGUGUGUCUGAGUGGGUACAUGUGUGUGUCUGAGUGGGUACAUGUGUGUGUCUGAGUGGGUACAUGUGUGUCUCUGAGUGGGUACAUGUGUGUGUCUGAGUGGGUACAUGUGUGUGU